AUAAAUAAACAAUUACAAUGUAACAACAAAUUUGAAUUAUUGAAACAAAUGAUGUUGAUUUAAAAAAAAACAUAUUGUCAAUAUGCUUACAGUGAUGAUGAGCAGCAAGAUGCUGAAAUCAACAUGACCAUGUGUACCUCAAGAUAUACACCAUCGAUGGCUGAGAAUGGCUAUAGAAGCGCAACUAUUUCUCCUCCAGACAAACCUUCACCUUCGUGUUGCAGUCAUUGCAGUCUACAUGAACGUAAUGCCUUGAAGAAGAGAAAGCUGGAGCUUCAAAUACAAUUGUUUGAGGCCCAUAAUCUAUUGAGGAAUAGAUUAUUUUGUUAUUUGUUAUUAUUGUGUUAUGAAGAUAUAGUUUAGUUAUAUUAAAAAGUUACAUGAAA